AUACGGAGGGUGCAAGCGUUACUCGGAAUCACUGGGCGUAAAGGAUGCGUAGGCGGAUAAUCAAGUCAAAAGUGAAAUCCCACGGCUUAACCGUGGAACUGCUUUCGAAACUGGUUAUCUAGAAUAUGGAAGAGGCAGAUGGAAUUAGUGGUGUAGGGGUAAAAUCCGUAGAGAUCACUAGGAAUACCGAUUGCGAAGGCGAUCUGCUGGGACAUUAUUGACGCUGAGGCAUGAAAACGUGGGGAGCAAACAGGAUUAGAAACCCGUGUAGUCC
rnacentral:rRNA from 1 species